rnacentral:rRNA from 1 species
UGGGGAAUAUUGCACAAUGGGCGAAAGCCUGAUGCAGCGACGCCGCGUGAGGGAUGACGGCCUUCGGGUUGUAAACCUCUUUCAGCAGGGAGGAAGCGAAAGUGACGGUACCUGCAGAAGAAGCGCCGGCUAACUACGUGCCAGCAGCCGCGGUAAUACGUAGGGCGCAAGCGUUGUCCGGAAUUAUUGGGCGUAAAGAGCUCGUAGGCGGUUAGUCGCGUCUGCUGUGAAAACUCGAGGCUCAACCUCGGGCUUGCAGUGGGUACGGGCUGACUAGAGUGCGGUAGGGGUGACUGGAAUUCCUGGUGUAGCGGUGGAAUGCGCAGAUAUCAGGAGGAACACCGAUGGCGAAGGCAGGUCACUGGGCCGCAACUGACGCUGAGGAGCGAAAGCAUGGGGAGCGAACAGGAUUAGAUACCCUGGUAGUCCAUGCCGUAAACGUUGGGCACUAGGUGU